CGAGGGGUGCAAGCGUUGCUCGGAAUUAUUGGGCGUAAAGGGUAGGUAGGUGGUCUUAUUUGUCUGGGGUGAAAUCCUUGAGCUUAACUCAAGAAGUGCCCUAGAAGCGGUAAGACUAGAGUCCUGGAGAGGGUCGUGGAAUUCCCGGUGUAGCGGUGAAAUGCGUAGAGAUCGGGAGGAACACCAGAGGCGAAGGCGGCGACCUGGACAGGUACUGACACUAAACUACGAAAGCGUGGGGAGCAAACAGGAUUAGAUACCCUGGUAGUCCACGCUGUAAACGAUGAGUACUAGGCUUGGUGGGUCUUGACCCCCGCUGAGCCGGAGCUAACGCACUAAGUACUCCGCCUGGGAAGUACGGUCGCAAGACUA
rnacentral:rRNA from 1 species